ACUGACCUGGAAGCUGAUCUCUAGGAACAGACUCAGCUAAAAAUUGGAGGUAUACAAGAAGAUGGUCUUGCUGUCAGGGUAAAUUUAUGUCCAAUGUAGAGCACAGUCAACUGCCAGAAGCAGAUCAAGCAUGGCAAGAAGGUUACACAAAGACAAGCUAAAACUACGAAGCCUGCACUUAUAUCAGAUUUCAAGUUCAAAUUCUCUCAAUAAAGUUUUACAAUUUGCUCCAAAGAAGUCAUGAAUGUGAUUUGUUAAACUUCUACUGGAAAUAAAAUACUAUUGAAAGCUA